rnacentral:rRNA from 1 species
AACGAACGCUGGCGGCAUGCCUAACACAUGCAAGUCGAACGAGACCUUCGGGUCUAGUGGCGCACGGGUGCGUAACGCGUGGGAACCUGCCCUUAGGUUCGGAAUAACUCCCCGAAAGGGGUGCUAAUACCGGAUAAUGUCUUCGGACCAAAGAUUUAUCGCCUUUGGAUGGGCCCGCGUUGGAUUAGCUAGUUGGUAGGGUAAAAGCCUACCAAGGCGACGAUCCAUAGCUGGUCUGAGAGGAUGAUCAGCCACACUGGGACUGAGACACGGCCCAGACUCCUACGGGAAGCAGCAGUGGGGGAUAUUGGACCAUGGGCGAGAGCCUGAUCCAGCAAUGCCGCGUGAGUGAUGAAGGCCUUAGGGUUGUAAAGCUCUUUUACCCGGGAUGAUAAUGACAGUACCGGGAGAAUAAGCUCCGGCUAACUCCGUG